rnacentral:rRNA from 1 species
GACGAACGCUGGCGGCGUGCUUAACACAUGCAAGUCGAACGGAAAGGCCCUGCUUUCGUGGGGUGCUCGAGUGGCGAGCGGGUGAGUAACACGUGAGUAACCUGCCCUUGACUUUGGGAUAACUUCAGGAAACUGGGGCUAAUACCGGAUAGGAGCUCCUGCUGCAUGGUGGGGGUUGGAAAGUUUCGGCGGUUGGGGAU